CCAACAUUCACAGCCACUGCUCCUGGCAAAGCAGGGUCCAGGGAAAAGGCAGACAUGAGGGACUGGGCAGAAGGGAAGCUGGGCCAGAUGUGGGGUGAACCUUCCCGCUCAAGGGUACGUGAAUACAGGACUUAAUUGCUCCUCCAUGUGAUCCUGCAGCUUACCACUCACCCUCUCAAAAUGCAGGGCUCGUGGCAAUGCACUGCAGGGACUGUAGGGCACAGGGACCGGGACCACCAUGGAUCCAUCCCCCUCUCAGCCCUCAAAUGCCCCCCAGGACCACCACACUGCCGGGAGGCUUUGUGUCCAUGCACAGGAGAGGUUGGGUGUCAGGGCAUGAGCUGUGGGGCAGCUCUCGCUGCCCCGACCCUGGGAAGGCCAAGCCCUGGAGGACUGUGGCAGCAAUGGAAUUUCCGCCUGCACCCAGGGUCGGGAAGCCUUGGCAGAGCAGACCAUUAGUAGCAGGAUUCAUGCUCUCGGUCCCUGACUGCAUCUGUAAUGGGAUUUGAUCGGCUUUAAGGCGGCUUAUUCUGCCAAUUAGCUUCAGCCAGUAAAAUCCCUCUUCCCCCAAGCCCUGGGGGUAACAAUCUGCUGACAACAUGUUCUUUCCCCAUCUAGCCAUUAAACUCAUCAGCAGGGCUAGGAAUUGUAAAAAAAAGAAAAAAAACCAGAAAAAAAAGGAAAAAGAAACUUGAAAACCCCUUGUGCGUGGGCCCUUUCAUCGCUGUUUACAGAAAAGCGCUACGAACCGCUGGCCCUGGGAGAGAAGUGUCACCUGCCAGCCCCUGCCUCCGCUCUCCUCCUCGCCCAGCGCACGGGGGGCAUCGGGGUGGCUCCCGGCCGGCGCCCAGAGCUGGGACCCGCGGCCAACCUGUAGAGCAAGGCAGGAGCCCGCGCUGCCCCCUCCUCCUGCCAGGCUGCAAGCCCUGCGGGGGCUUCGGGGUGCCAGGGGAUGGAGCGCAGGGAAGGGGACGCAAGCUCCUUCCCACCCUGCCCGACUGCACGUGGAAAUGUCCCGGUGACGGAUGGAGGUCUCAGGAGGUGCCGAGCUCCCUCUGGUCCUGCUCUGGACACCCUCAGAAGGGGCUCAGCCCCCGGCAGGAUUCAGCCAGCGAGGUGAUGGCGGCGUGGAAAACGGGAUGCCCUCUCGAUUCCGGCAUGCCAAGAGGAGCCCGGAGUGCAAAGGACAUGCAGGCUGAGUUGCAGGAGAUGGUCCCCAGAGGGGCCUGGUCCUGCAUCUCCCAGAGGUCUGGCAGCACCCAUGACAAAUGGGAAUUUGGUGCCUGGGAGUGCUCCAGGAGUACCAGUGAUCAAUAACAGCAGCACAGCUGGGUGGGUUUUCGAGGCUCUCUCCCCUGCUGAUUCCUGUCAUGAUCACCUUUAGCCUUCAAGCAUGAGAUCUGAGCAGCCCCAAAGCCACAGGAGCCAGCUGCAGGCACCAAGGCUCUGAGAUGGCAUUUCCCUCUGAUGGAGCAACUGCAGAUUAUGUUUCCUUUACUGCAUGCGAAGAAGCCGGCUCUGGGAUGGCAGAGUGUACAGGAAGCACAUGUCAAAAGAGUAAAUAAUGAAUAUCAAAGCAACGGUGAAGGUGGAAAAAGCUCUUUAAGCUUCAAAGCAAACCACUGGAUUGCUCCAGAAGUUCUUGAGGGAUCCAGAUGAAGCUGAAGUUGGGAAAGGUGCAAGAGUAGCUGCAGGGAGGAUGUAGCUGUCAAGGAUUCUGGUCAUGAGCAGAUCACAGAAAACCCAGGGGUUCAUAUCUGUGCUCUCAGCUCCCCCUCAAGACGCAGGAUGUGAAGUGGUGUGUGGGGAAAUUCACGGGACUGAUUUCUUUUGACCACCCCUACAGCUACCUGAGAACUGAGAGGUCUGGGGAGGACUGGCACUCAAGGAGAUGGAGAUGGUCUGAGCAGUGUUAGGGAAUCACGGUGUCCCCUUAUGAUGCUGUUUUGAGGACACCUUCCAGGCAGGGGUAUGCACUAGGACCAUCCAAACAGCUGUCCUCCCUGGUCUUCUCCUUCAUCUAUGGUGGUUUCUUUUUGUGACUGGUACCGAGUCUUUUCCUUGGACCAAGGGUAAGAAUGAAGCAUGUUGAUGGUGCUGGAGGGAAGAGAGAGCACUGCUUUUCAAGCAAGCACAUUAUUUAUCAGCAGCACAGGCUCAGCCAGUGAGAAACCCAUUUCAAAUUCAUGGUGACUUAUUUUGACCAGGAAAAACCACCUUGAGCCCACAUGCUGAGGAGGACAAAAUGUCCUGCACCAGUGUUUUGGGAGGAAGCAGCCCCUUAUUUUCCACUUUAAAGAGACAUUUGUUUUGAGGUCUACUGUCAUGGGAUUCCAAACUUAAACAGGAGAUGCGAUGUUUUAUUCAAGAUGCUUUUUAUCCCUUCUGGUAUUUCAGUUUAACCGGCAAACUAAUAAAACCUAUUAUUUACAGAGUCCUCAUGAGCCCAGAGCCUGGGGGGCCAAGCUGCCACAGCAAAUGAGGGUUUCAUCGUGCAGCCCUCACUGCAGGAUUUAGCUCUGGAAGACAAGGAGACAAUUCCAGCCCUGGCUCAGGAUCCCAAACCUUGCGAGGACGGCUGUGCUUUAAGAAGGAUGAGCCUGGGCACAUCCACAGCCUGUCCAAAUCUCCCCGUGCUGUCCCAAAACCCCUCUGCAGGGGUUGUGCUGCCUGCUCCCUCAGCGGGGGGGAGGUGUGUGUGUGUGACUGCAGGCUGGAGCAGCAGGGGAAGGCAGGAGGCAGUUCUUUCCCUGCCUCUUCCCCGUGAAAAGGGCUGGUCACUCCUUGCCUCAGGCAAUGCCAAAGACAAGGAGUGUCUCUCUCCAAGGAGACAGUUCUUCUGGGCCACAUCAGAGGGAAAACAGAUGCAAGUGGAGAAAGGUGUUAUCCCAAGGUGUUCAGGAGCUCAUUUCUGAGAAAACGCAGGCGUUUGCAAAAUCUGCCUCAGACAGAUCUCUCUCCAAGUGUGGAGGAGCAGGACUGGGGGACCCCAGGCAGACACAGAUCCCACGGAGCUCUACAGGGAGAGGUCAGGCUUGAGAGCACUGCUGGCAGAGCUGGGCACGCCAGGACAAGGAGCUGCCAGGGCGUUCUCAGGCAGCUACUGCCAGGACCAUGCAGCAGACAGCUCUGAAGGGCUGCAUGGAGGUGAACUUGCCUUCCCCUCCUCCCAUCGCUGCUCGUCACAGGUCUGAGGACAGAGCACAGUUAGAGCCGCUGUCCUUGGUGCUCAUUCUCCUCCUGAUAAUGAACUGGGGCUCCAGCUGUCACCUACCCAGCGCAUCCUCUGGGAGCAGCGCAGGUUCCAAGGCCAAGGCUUCCCAUGGAUGUCCUCUCCAUGCCCAGAGCUGUGUGCUCUGGCAGAAGGCAGAGGCUGGUAGGGCUGUGAGUCUCCUACAGCAGCAUCCCUGAGGCUGAGUGUGCUGACAGACCUGGCAUGAGAGUGGGGAAGGACAUCUGAGGAGAAGCUGAUUGCAGGGUCCCUUUGGGAAACUUGGAGGAUGAAAACCCCUGUAUAAGCCUUGACCCUUUUCUCCAAGUUGGGGCAUGUCCUGCACAGUAGAAACAUUUGUUUACCCUAUCAGGGCAUUUGUUCAACAUAACCGAGGUUUUGUCUUUUUCAGGCUCACCAGGCACAGCAGCAGAUGCUGCAUCUGGGCUCACAUGACAUCAAUAACCACUUCAGCUGGACUCUGCCUUCCCACCUUUCUGGGCAGCGAUGAUAGAUGAAGCAGACAGGACACAGUGUGGUUUUUAGGUGCUGGAGUGAACUUGCAGUGCUGACAGAUUAAAAAAAUGUGUUUGGAGUCUGAACAAAUGUGACGUGUAUGUUUUCCAAGGAGAAUGAAGGGUGUGGGAGGACAGCCCAGGCCGUAGCAGGAGCUGGUGCAAGGUGUCCCAGAGGGUGACAAGAGCAUUGACAGGAGUGGGAACUUUACUUUCAUCCUCUGCUGCUACGUCAGGCCUGAAGGAGCAUCUGGAGUUCCUUUCACUGUGGACAGUCCCUCUUCAAAAUGAGUUGCUUAGUGGAAAGAGAUCACCAAAUGCUAGGUGAUCUGAUCCUGUGUGUCAGCAUGGCUCCUGCUGUCACCCUGGGGAUGGGAAAGGUGCUGUUUCCUGCGCUUUUAUGGCUCUGCCUUUCUGAACCCCUCCCCAGCUCAGGGUUGAAUGUGUUACAUCCCUCCCAGGGAUCGAAAUGUAAAAAGAGAAAACGCACAUGGGAAAGGCUGGGAAAGGGAAGAGAAUUGGCAGCAUUGGACAAAAAAGGGAAAAAUCUCAGCAAACUGAGCACCAGGUGUUUCAAUACUUUUUUCAAAUAGAAUUUGCAGCUAUGCCAUCCCUGCAUCUGACCUUGUAUGUCCAGCACAGGGCCGUGAGCUGGUAGUUUAGCCCCCAGAAUAACUCCCAGGCAGAACAUCAUUAUUUUAAAUUCUGUGCAACUGCUGAUACAAACUUUGGGGACAUGCAGCUGCAGGAACAGGAGCAGCUGCUUCUCUUCACUGUAGAAAUGUGUCUGCUUCUGGAUGGAGAUACACUAGCUCCUUGUCAACCUGUGCUACAGCAGUUCAGGGUAGGGGAAAAGGAGCCAGGGAGGUCAUGGAGGCAACAAAAACUGUCUUUGGGAUGCAAACUGUAUUUCACAGAGUGAUUCCUCCCAGAGUUGCUCAAUAGCUGGGAAAAACCUGAUCUUAGGGCUCUCCAGAGGACACACUGGGACUGAGAGCAGAGCCAACACAUGCAGAAGGUGGUGCUCACCACCAAAACCCCAUGGCCAGCAGUGACCCUGCCUGACCCUUUCCGUACUGCAGCCCUGAAGGCAGAGCUGAGGGCACCUCAUCCCCUGCUGGUCCCCCUGGUGAGAUUUGAGAGGGGGAGAGAGGGAGGCAGAUUUGCUUUUUAUUGUUAAUACCCUCAGGCAUUUCCAUCCAGGGACGCGGGGAUUUCAAUGACUUCUCUCUCCGCUGUCUCGGGAAUGUUUAUACACCAGUAAAUAAUGGGAACUGCUCAUCUGUGGCUGAGUGUAGAUGUUCAAUUACAGCCAUCUCCAGCAGCUGAUCCGAGCCCUGCACUCCGCUUUCCCCCUCACCCCAGCGCUGUGGUUUGCCUGGCAGCUUGACAUUUUGUCAGCCCGAGGAUAACGCAGGACGGUUGACAAGUGGAGAAAACAGUGCAAGAAGCUUUUCCUUCCAGAGCUGAGGCAGAGCACAGGUUCUCCUGUUGCAGGUACCACCUGAGCUGGGGUCACACAAGCUGCGUUUCUUGCUCCCUGUCGUGGGCCUGGCUCUGAAGCUGCAGGAGUGAUGCCAGCAGCGAGCCCAUUUUCUCGCACCUCUUUACUUCUUGGGAUCUAUUAGACAUUCCCAAGGCCUGUUUAAAUUUCCUCCAGUGUGAAGGGCCAGUGUUUCCCCCGGGACAUGCUCUUCUCUCCCAAGUCCCUGAGCUCAAGGGACACACUGUAGAGGUUUUUGUUGUGUUUUUUUAGAGAGGCAGUGCUUGGGACUGUGGCACUGCAGCCCAUGGUGCCAACCCAGCAGGGCUGCAUCAGCAAGAGCUCACCAGGGAGGUGACCAGCUGAGAACAGGCUUGGCACACCUUGAUGCAUUUUACCCAUCCAGCAUGUGGGAUGCCCAGCACAUGCCUGCUCAGGGCAGGGGCAGUGUCUGCUCCUUCCCUGGAGCAGCUUGACAGACUCUCUUCCACCUCUGCCCCAAAGCAUCAUUCAUGCAGGGGAGUGAGACCAUCUGAUGUGCUGCUAUUACCCACUCCCAGAUGGGGGAGGCAAUGGCACUGCCUCUCCUUCCAUGUCCUCUUGGCCCAGGUGGGACACAGGAGCACAGUUAACCCUGAGAGCCUGCCAUGGUCAUGCCUCCAGAGUGUUGUUCCCGAGUGUAUGGCAGAGCAGAGCUGCUCUCCCAGUCCAGACCCUAUCCAGCUGUUCUCCACUGCUGGCACUGCCAUUUGCACCCUUUCCACCUCCCCACCCUUGUGAGCGUCUGAGAUUCUCCUCAGCCCGUGCUCGCAGGAGCACAUGGAGAAAUGCCAGCACUGCUCUAUUCCUUAGCUCUGGAUCUCCUGUGAAAUACUGACCUAGAUCAACCCAGAGCUGCACACGAGCCUGGGCUGUGCUGCUGUGGCUGCCAGGCAUGGUGAGCCCCUCUCGGGCACCCCUGCUCUGGGAUUUUACUUCCCAACCCAACAGUCCUCACCCCUCAUCGUGCAGAAAUCCAGACCCCAUCCGGCCAACACAGCCAGUGCCAUUGUGUCCAGCACCCACCUUGCCUCUCCUCUCUGGUUUUCUCCCCCUCCAUCCCAGCCCCUCUGGCUGCCCAAAGCAAUCAGUGGCAGCUGAAGUGCAAAGGAGCAGACACCGUGAGCUGCGGCUUUCGCACUCGGUGCCCUCCAGCUCUGCACUCCCAAAGCCAUCGGAGCAGAAACGCCUGCACACGUAGUGCCUCUCCAAAAGAGAGAUGCUGGCACUAGGGUCUGGUAAUUGCCAGCACGUCAGGAAUGAGAGAUCUUCUCCUAAUACUUUCUAAGCUCCAAUCUUAAUCUUGUUCAUUGCUGUUAAGUCUCAGAGAAAUCGGGCCGAUGCGUUGAAAGGAGGCAAAAUAAAAAGAUUUGAGAGGAGGCUGAAGUCUCUUCAGAAAACUGAAGGGAAAUAAUCUUCAAAGGUUCCUGUGAGCCUGCGCUCCCCAGCCUGGAAAAGCAGAACAGAUCAACACUGAGCCUUGCUGGAGCUGUUUUUCAGCCUGGUAUUUUGUGGGAGGAGACAGAAGAGUUAAGGCUGGAAUAUUCGAAAGCAGUCACAGGAUCUCAGCACCCAGCCCCUGGGACCCCAUCCCUGGGAUCACUGCUGCCUGGCAGGUUCAGGUCCUCAAGGCAAAGCCCAGUUCUCAUUUCCCCAUGGGGCUGGGGACAAGCCAGAGCAGCAGCACAUGAGGAGCUGGAUGGUUUUCCCAGGAUGAGGAACCCCAGGAGGGUCUGCAGGCCCUUCUCACCACCCUGCCUGUGAGGGGGAUCCAGCCAGGUGGAAAGACCUGCAGAGAAAUUACCUGUACUGGGGCGAUGGAAGGAGUUGCCUCAGGAAGGGUGUUUGCUGCCCAUCAUCCCAGGCUCUCAUGGCAAGGAGCCAGGGCAGCACAGCACCCUGCUCCCACCACCCUGCCUGGACUGCCUCACCCCUCUGCAUCCCAUUGCCUUGCACCAUCCCUGCAGACAGUGCUGUGCCAGCACCCUCUCAUCCUCAGCCAAGGCUCCAUGGAGGGAUCUUCUCUCUCCUUGCAUCUUCCCCUAAGGCCUGGGAGGUUCCUACAGUGGAAGCUGCUUCCAGACUAUGGACUUGUCAUUGCCGGCUGAGCUGCUGCUGAAUCCCUUCCUUGGCUCACAGGUACUUUCAGCCUCCCUGGCAGCCCAAGGCAACACGUGCUGCCAUUGGAAAAGGCCCUGCUGGGCAAGGUGCUGCCCUUUCACCUUGCAAAAAAUGUGUGUGUGGAGGAGACCACAGGUCAUCCAGGGCAUGCUCCAAACGCACCCCGUCGUGGCACAGCAAGCACACACAGCUCUGUCCCACGCUCUGCAGAGGGACGUGCCCAGCCCUGGGUGUUUGCAGGAGGGGUUGCAGUGCAGAGAUGAAGAUAAGCUGAGCCAGAUCGUGUCUGUGCAAGCAGAGUGGGAUCUGAUGAGGGUCCUGUGACCUGGGGGACACUCUGUCUGCAGGCUCUUGGCAGAGCAUUGACUCCACGGGCAGCUCUGCCAGCUCCCAGCAAAUUUUGCUUUGCAGCAAAUUUUGUCUUUGUCAUUGCCCGUGUGUCUGGUGGACAGGGGACUCCUGUCUUCUAGGAGGCUGUUAGAAAAUGCCUUUCAACUGCAGUCAAAUUCACCCCCCUCAAAAAAAAAAAAAAAUAAAGAGCAAGCCAUAAUUACACCCACACAGCUCUCCACAUCGUGCUAAGCUUCACCCCCCUUCCCAGAAAUGCACCCGCACCUAUAGAGUGGAUAUGUUGAUUAAAAGUCCCCCAAAAUGAAUAGAUCAAGAGAAAUCUGCCAUACCCCUGCAGCAAGGGUGAAGUGCUUUUUAAUUAAGGACAAAGAGAUGCAAAUGUCCUGAAUCAUCACAAGCAAAUAGCAAAAUAGCACCUGUCAGAAUAUUAAAAAACAAGCACUCAGCAUUCCCUUGUGAUCAGCUUGAAGGAGGCCUUGAGUUAAAAAAAAAAAAUUCCACUGAGAGUUGAAAAACGUAAUAGACUGGGAGUGAGUGAAGAAAAUGGCUCAAUAUAGACCAGUGGGGAUUACUUGGUGGUGAUUUUGGCAUGUGAAUUUGUCAGGGUGGCCACCAGGAGGGUCUGGAGCACCUCUGGCCCCAGCACAGCCUGUGCUGGACCCGCUGGGAGGGUGGGAUAAGUGACAAGGAGAACUGCUGACCUGCCCAGCGCCAGCCAAGCUCUGCCCCUCCCAGGUGCGGGUUCCCUGCUGCCACCCUGCAAAGUCCCUCACCAUGAGCACUCAAAUAACCCCAGUCAGCUGGGAGAACACAACUUAAUGCAUGCUGAAGUGUUUGCUGGAGGACCAGCCCCAGGGUCUGCUCCAGCGAGGUCCCCUCACCUCUGUCAGACCUGCCCGUGCUGAAGGAGAAAGGAUUUAAGUCGUUCUGGGUAAUGAAGGUGACAGGCCUGCUGCAUUCCUGAGCCCUGUGACAGCACCCCAUGAGCUGUUCUCCUUGCUGUGCAUUGGGUUGUGAGGCAGCCCAGGAAUGAGCAGGAAGGGCUUUGGACGUGUCCAGAGCCUUUAUUAUUAGGAUGGAUUACAGGAGAAACUGGUUGGAACGGGCACCUGGAUCCUGGUGCUGCUGGGGAGAGCAGGCAGGUGCUCUCAACCUGAUCAGGGCAGGCAAUUAUUUUCCUAGAAGAGAAGGGUUAAACAAGGAGGUUGGGGGAAUUCUUUUGCAUUUUGGGUGUUUUCAUUGCUAUUGUUGCUUGCCUUCACCUAAACCCCCGUGUGUUCAGGUUAGAACCCCAAAUGUGGGGGGAUGUGGUGCUGUGAGGAGCACCCUACACAAACAGCUGCCCCUCUGGUCUCCAGCUGCUGGGCUGCACCUCAAAAAGGUGACCUUGAGCACCACUUGGCUUAAUGACACGGCCGAGGCCACUGCUGUCCCCAGGGCUGUACCGGAGCCAGGAGGGACGAGGAGUGGGAAAGGCAAUGAAAGGAUCAAGUGUUGGGAAGGACAGCGAGAGCCAGCACAGCCCAGAAACAGUGACAAAGGACCAGGACUGUGAAGGGAAGGCAGAGUGAAAGGGAAAUGCCUGGAAUAAUAAGUGACGGACGGAUGCCUUUGAAGGGGACUUGGAUAUCUUGGGUCUCCCGCCUGACCUACUUAAAACUGGCGUAAUCUGAUGAAGGAGCAACCUCCAGCUCUAAAUAUAAACUUCUCUCCUCUUUAUUUAAAUUCCUUCCCUCUGCCACCCAGGGGGAGGGCUGUGGUUGGUAACUGGGUGGAAGGCACUGUGUGUAUUCCAUAGGUCCUGCAGGAGCGCCCGGGAACCCCAGGAGGGCUGGGCACCUUUCCUGGUGGAAGGGGCUGGUGCAGCAGCAGAGGCACCAGCACAGAGCCCAGAGGGGACAGCACUGGCAUCACGUGUUUUUCAAGCAGCCAGUUUAUUAACAGGAGCAGAACUGCUCUCCAUCAGGCACUGCCCCUAGGGAAUGACGGGGUGCACUGCUCCCAGGUAGCCACUCCGGGCACUACCUGCAAGAAAGCUGCACAUCACGACCCAGAAGCCAGGGAGCUCUCAUUAGCUCCUUGUACACACAUGAUUUGCAAUCAAAGAUUUUUCAUUUUAAAUGAACCACAAAUCUGGUGCACAACGGAGUCCUGAGGCAGCAAGAUAAUUGGCAAAUAUAGGCAGAAUUUGGCAAUUAGCUUAAACGAGAAGAAAAACAAACAAAAUCACAAUCCAAGAAAAAACAGCUGCGACGAGAGCACUUUUUUUCCAACCUGUUUUGAAAUAAAAUGUUUUGCUUAAGAAUGCCAAAAUGUUUCAUCGAUCCAUGUUCUAAAUUAAGUGUUUCAAGGUUUUCCACUUCAGCACACCGAUGUUCAUUUAAAACCUGACUUUCUUUAAAUAAAAGGGUAGAAAAAGAACCAGUGUUUAGGUUUGAACAACAUACUGAGAUGACAAGAUGAAUUUUUUUCAUUUUUCCUGUUUCACUGGAAAGCCAUAUUAAAAAAAAUAAAAAUAAAAUAUUUGAUUCAAUAUGAACCAAAUUUAA